UCUCUCUCUCUCUCACAAAUCCCCAGCCGCCUUUGACUCCCUUUCUCUCUCUCUCUCUCUCUUUCUCAAUUCUCAAAUUUGAAAUCUCACGUCUUGGGCUCCUCUUCCUCCGCCUCCAAUCUCAGCAAUUCCCGCCUUAUUCCUCCCCAAAACCCAAUCCUAAUCCCAAACCUAGCCCUUUGCCAAAUCCUAAACCCUCAAAUGAAUUCGACCCAUUCGAUCCUCUGAUUACCACCAGUAAUCGAUCGACCACCGGCUCCUCCGCAGCAGUCUUCAAUUGCCCAAUUUGCUCCUCUUCGUUCUCAUUGGAAUCUGAGGUAUCAGAUCAUAUCGAUCUCUGCUUAACCACCGCAAAUUCCAACGCCGAAACGCCCAUCGAAUCCUCCAUAGUGGCUGAGUCAGUUAGUUUGUACUUGUCGAAUCAGCCAUGAAAAGAUUUGGUGGAUGUCGUGUUGAGACUGUUGAGUAAUGUUGCGAAGGAGCCUGGGAAUGAGAAGUUUAGGAGGAUUAGGAUGGGGAAUCCGAUGAUAAAGGAGGCGGUCAGCGAGGUUAAUGGCGGGGUGGAGCUUUUGAAGAUUUUGGGGUUUAGGAUUAGAUAUGAGGAGGGAGGGGAGGUUUGGGGAAUAGGGUGAUCGAGAGGAAGAAGUUCGAUCGAAAGAUCCACCAAAUCAAGGAUGCAGUCAACGAGGUUGCAACUAGUAGAAGCUACAACGAAUUGGAUCAAGAAGAUUACAGUUAACCGGAGAGUUACAUAUACGAGAUUUAGUAAAAUCUCUCUGUUACAGCACGUCCCAUCAUGUUGAAUGAUCUUGUAGAUUCAACUUGCUUCUUAAUAAAAGGAAUCUCAGACCUGGGAGAGCUUUUGUCAUGAUGUCAGUUACUUGAUCCUUGGUUGAUAUAUAGGAGACCUGUAGCAGCCAUUUUGCGACCUGAUCCUGUACAAAACAAAAGUCUAUUUUAAUGUGCUUUGUGCGAGCAAGGAACAUGAGGUUCACUAUUAAGUAAGUGGCACCGACAUUAUCACACAAAAGAGUUGGCAGUCAUUCCAAUGGAUAGCCCAACUCUGGGGGAAGAGAAUGCAACCAUAUCAACUCUGCCAUUGUGUCAGCCAAUGCCCUUUAUUCAGACUCUAUUGAAAAUCUACAGACAGUGUGUUGUUUCUUUGCUAACCAAGAAAUGAGAUUUGAGCCCACAAAAACGGUGUAUCCACCUGAAGGUUUAUGAUCAUUGGAACAUCCAGCCUAGUCGGCAUCUAAGAAAGAUUAGAGAUGUGCAGAGGGAGAUUUAGUAAUGCCAAAGAGAGAGUUGAAGUGCCUUUGAGAUAUCGGAGAAUCUGUUUGACAGCGUGCCAAUGGUCAACUGUAGGAUUAGCCAUAUAUUGACAAACUUUAUUAACAGAGAAGGCGAGGUUAGGCAGGUGAUAAGGAUAUAUUGAAGUGAGCCGAUAACUUGAUGGUACAACUGUGGAUCUAAAAGGAUAGAGCUACCAUCUUUGGUGAGGUUACAUGAUGGUGAUAAGUGUAGAGAUGGAUUUUGAGCCAAUCAUGUGAGUCCAGACUAACAAAUCUGUAAUGUAUUUUUUGUUGAGAGAGUAGGAGACCAAUGGAUGUGUGUAUGACUUUGAUUCCAAGAAAGUAAUGGAGGGGCUGAGGUCGUUGAGUGAGUAAGUGCUAGAAAGAGAGGAAAAUGAUUUUUGUAGCAAUUAAAGAAGACAAGGUCUAGAGGAGAGGAGCUCUAGGUACCAGUUUGAGGUAGGUGAAGGCGUGAUGAUUUUCUAAGUAGACAGGCGACACAUUUAUUUGGGUCAGAUAAAACAAAACUACACGAAGCUGGUUAGCACCAAUGACAUCACGAACCGUGCGAUCGUAAGGAUGGCCAUGUCAUUGAUGCCAAAGAGCGGGGGAUGGAAGAGUGCUGAAGUGAUUCAGAUCUGAAUGUUCUGAUCAAUUUUUUGAUCUUGAUCUGUGGUUGAUUAUACUACUAUGGUGGCUUGAUGAUGGCUUGAUGAUGGUCGAUUUUAUGAUAUUGAUCUAUGAUCGAUUUUUAGAGCUUUUGCCUUCGACUUUGUGAUUGAUUUGGGGAAUUUUUUAGUCUGUUAAUUGUUGGAUGAGGAUAUUAUGACUUGAUUUCUUUGAUUUGUUUGAAAACUCCACCAUACAUCUAUUAUCGAAUCAACGUACAUUGGAUUCUACAA